rnacentral:rRNA from 1 species
AUACGGAGGGGGUUAGCGUUGUUCGGAAUUACUGGGCGUAAAGCGCACGUAGGCGGAUUGGAAAGUUGGGGGUGAAAUCCCAGGGCUCAACCCUGGAACUGCCUCCAAAACUAACAGUCUAGAGUUCGAGAGAGGUGAGUGGAAUUCCAAGUGUAGAGGUGAAAUUCGUAGAUAUUUGGAGGAACACCAGCGGCGAAGGCGGCUCACUGGCUCGAUACUGACGCUGAGGUGCGAAAGCGUGGGGAGCAAACAGGAUUAGAAACCCUAGUAGUCC